CAGCAGCCACGGUAAAACGUAGGUGGCAAGCGUUGUCCGGAAUUAUUGGGCGUAAAGGGCUCGCAGGCGGUUUCUUAAGUCUGAUGUGAAAGCCCCCGGCUCAACCGGGGAGGGUCAUUGGAAACUGGGAAACUUGAGUGCAGAGGAGGAGAGUGGAAUUCCACGUGUAGCGGUGUAAUGCGUAGAGAUGUGGAGGAACACCAGUGGCGAAGGCGACUCUCUGGUCUGUAACUGACGCUGAGGAGCGAAAGCGUGGGGAGCGAACAGGAUUAGAUACCCGGGUAGUCCCUGUCUCUUAUAA
rnacentral:rRNA from 1 species